rnacentral:rRNA from 1 species
AUUGAACGCUGGCGGCAUGCCUUACACAUGCAAGUCGAACGGUAACAGGUCUUCGGAUGCUGACGAGUGGCGAACGGGUGAGUAAUACAUCGGAACGUGCCUAGUAGUGGGGGAUAACUACUCGAAAGAGUGGCUAAUACCGCAUGAGAUCUACGGAUGAAAGCAGGGGAUCGCAAGACCUUGUGCUACUAGAGCGGCCGAUGGCAGAUUAGGUAGUUGGUGGGAUAAAAGCUUACCAAGCCGACGAUCUGUAGCUGGUCUGAGAGGACGAUCGGCCACACUGGGACUGAGAAACGGCCCAGACUCCUACGGGAGGCAGCAGUGGGGAAUUUUGGACAAUGGGCGCAAGCCUGAUCCAGCAAUGCCGCGUGCAGGAUGAAGGCCUUCGGGUUGUAAACUGCUUUUGUACGGAACGAAAAGCCCUGGGUUAAUACCCUAGGGGUCAUGACGGUACCGUAAGAAUAAGCACCGGCUAACUACGUGCCAGCCGCCGCGGUAA